rnacentral:piRNA from 1 species
CUGGAAAUCUGUGAGUAUCUGGUGAAUU